AACUGAAGAGUUUGAUCAUGGCUCAGAUUGAACGCUGGCGGCAGGCUUAACACAUGCAAGUCGAACGAAGUUAGGAAGCUUGCUUCUGAUACUUAGUGGCGGACGGGUGAGUAAUGCUUAGGAAUCUGCCUA
rnacentral:rRNA from 1 species